rnacentral:tRNA from 1 species
GGGCCCGUGGUUUAGUGGCUAUAACGUGGCCUUUACGAGGCUAAGGUCGCCGGUUCGAAUCCGGCCGGGCCCA